rnacentral:rRNA from 1 species
AACAGGAUUAGAUACCCUGGUAGUCCACGCCGUAAACGAUGUCGACUUGGAGGCUGUUCCCUUGAGGAGUGGCUUCCGGAGCUAACGCGUUAAGUCGACCGCCUGGGGAGUACGGCCGCAAGGUUAAAACUCAAAUGAAUUGACGGGGGCCCGCACAAGCGGUGGAGCAUGUGGUUUAAUUCGAUGCAACGCGAAGAACCUUACCUACUCUUGACAUCCAGAGAAUUUAGCAGAGAUGCUUUAGUGCCUUCGGGAACUCUGAGACAGGUGCUGCAUGGCUGUCGUCAGCUCGUGUUGUGAAAUGUUGGGUUAAGUCCCGCAACGAGCGCAACCCUUAUCCUUUGUUGCCAGCACGUAAUGGUGGGAACUCAAAGGAGACUGCCGGUGAUAAACCGGAGGAAGGUGGGGAUGACGUCAAGUCAUCAUGGCCCUUACGAGUAGGGCUACACACGUGCUACAAUGGCGCAUACAAAGAGAAGCGACCUCGCGAGAGCAAGCGGACCUCAUAAAGUGCGUCGUAGUCCGGAUUGGAGUCUGCAACUCGACUCCAUGAAGUCGGAAUCGCUAGUAAUCGUAAAUCAGUAUGUUACGGUGAAUACGUUCCCGGGCCUUGUACACACCGCCCGUCACACCAUGGGAGUGGGUUGCAAAAGAAGUAGAUAGCUUAACCUUCGGGAGGGCGUUUACCACUUUGUGAUUCAUGACUGGGGUGAAGUCGUAACAAGGUAACCGUAGGGGAACCUGCGGCUGGAUCACCUCCUU